GUUUCAUUUUCAUUCUAAAACCAAACUCUUUUUUGUAUCAGGCAAUUACGUGUUGUUCUGGGGUUUCCCCCUCCUUCCCACUCUAUAUCCCCUGCGCCCCUCGCAGCAAAACUGCAAAAAGACCAAAGAGACAAGCAAGAAAGAUCUUUCUUUUUGGGUAUCAUAGUUGUUUGCAAGCCCUGAAGAGCAGAAGAGAUAUCCCCCCUCUCCCCCCUCAAAGCUUGAUAUAUUUGUAUUCAAUGAUGAUCCUUCCGCAGGUUCACCUACGGAAA
rnacentral:misc_RNA from 1 species